GAUGAACGCUGGCGGCGUGCCUAAUACAUGCAAGUCGAGCGAACAGACGAGGAGCUUGCUCCUCUGACGUUAGCGGCGGACGGGUGAGUAACACGUGGAUAACCCACCUAUAAGACUGGGAUAACUUCGGGAAACCGGAGCUAAUACCGGAUAAUAUAUUGAACCGCAUGGUUCAAUAGUGAAAGACGGUUUUGCUGUCACUUAUAGAUGGAUCCGCGCCGCAUUAGCUAGUUGGUAAGGUAACGGCUUACCAAGGCAACGAUGCGUAGCCGACCUGAGAGGGUGAUCGGCCACACUGGAAUUGAGACACGGUCCAGACUCCUACGGGAGGCAGCAGUAGGGAAUCUUCCGCAAUGGGCGAAAGCCUGACGGAGCAACGCCGCGUGAGUGAUGAAGGUCUUCGGAUCGUAAAACUCUGUUAUUAGGGAAGAACAAAUGUGUAAGUAACUAUGCACGUCUUGACGGUACCUAAUCAGAAAGCCACGGCUAACUACGUG
rnacentral:rRNA from 1 species